GAAAUAUGAAGAUCAAGAAGAAGCCGCUAACUUCUAACUUUAACGGUUUAAUUCCGUUUAUAUUUCU
rnacentral:tRNA from 1 species